GCCCCGAUAGCUCAGUGGGUAGAGCAUGAGACUCCUAAUCUCAGAGUUGUGGGUUCAAGCCCCAUGUUGGGCA